rnacentral:rRNA from 1 species
CCUACGGGAGGCAGCAGUGAGGAAUAUUGGUCAAUGGCCGGGAGGCUGAACCAGCCAAGUCGCGUGAGGGAAGACGGCCCUACGGGUUGUAAACCUCUUUUGUCAGGGAGCAAGGUGCAGGUCGGGACCUGCUGUGAGAGUACCUGAAGAAAAAGCAUCGGCUAACUCCGUGCCAGCAGCCGCGGUAAUACGGAGGAUCCGAGCGUUAUCCGGAUUUAUUGGGUUUAAAGGGAGCGUAGAUGGGUUGUUAAGUCAGUUGUGAAAGUUUGCGGCUCAACCGUAAAAUUGCAAUUGAUACUGGCAGUCUUGAGUACAGUUGAGGUAGGCGGAAUUCGUGGUGUAGCGGUGAAAUGCUUAGAUAUCACGAAGAACCCCGAUUGCGAAGGCAGCCUGCCGCAGCGUUACUGACGCUGAAGCUCGAAAGCGCGGGUAUCGAACAGGAUUAGAUACCCCAGUAGUC